UUUAAGCUUCCUACGGGAGGCUGCAGUGGGGAAUCUUGCGCAAUGGGCGAAAGCCUGACGCAGCCAUGCCGCGUGAAUGAUGAAGGUCUUAGGAUUGUAAAAUUCUUUCACCGGGGACGAUAAUGACGGUACCCGGAGAAGAAGCCCCGGCUAACUUCGUGCCAGCAGCCGCGGUAAUACGAAGGGGGCUAGCGUUGCUCGGAAUUACUGGGCGUAAAGGGAGCGUAGGCGGACAUUUAAGUCAGGGGUGAAAUCCCGGGGCUCAACCUCGGAAUUGCCUUUGAUACUGGGUGUCUUGAGUAUGAGAGAGGUGUGUGGAACUCCGAGUGUAGAGGUGAAAUUCGUAGAUAUUCGGAAGAACACCAGUGGCGAAGGCGACACACUGGCUCAUUACUGACGCUGAGGCUCGUUUGCUGGGGAGCAAACAGGAUUAGAUACCCUUGUAGUCGAAUUCUU
rnacentral:rRNA from 1 species